rnacentral:misc_RNA from 1 species
AAGUCGUAACAAGGUAUCUGUAGGUGAACCUGCAGAUGGAUCAUCUUUGUAUAAUCCAAACCCAGCCUCUCUCUCUCUCUGGGAGAGGUUCGGGGGAGAGGUGUCGCUCCGCACCUCUCAAAAAUAAACUAAAUUGGGCAAUCUUCCACAAACACGGUUGCAUCGGUCGGGUCUCUGCUGUCCAACAGUGCCUCACGGCGCUGGGAAAAUGGCAGCGCCCCGACAAAAUUUACACAACACACGCUAAUCUUUAGUCGUUGAAAAAUAAUCUUUAUGAUUGACACGAUUCGGUAACACGGUCGUAUAAUCUAAAACACAACUUUUGGCAACGGAUCUCUUGGUUCUCC